rnacentral:rRNA from 1 species
CGAGUGGCGAACUGGGGAGCUCACGUGGGUAACCUGCCCUUGAAGUAGGGGAUAACACUUGGAAACAGGUGCUAAUACCGUAUAACAACCAAAACCACCUGGUUUUGGUUUAAAAGAUGGCCUCGGCUAUCACUUUAGGAUGGACCCGCGGCGUAUUAGCUUGUUGGUAAGGUAACGGCCUACCAAGGCAAUGAUACGUAGCCGACCUGAGAGGGUAAUCGGCCACAUUGGGACUGAGACACGGCCCAAACUCCUACGGGAGGCAGCAGUAGGGAAUCUUCCACAAUGGACGAAAGUCUGAUGGAGCAACGCCGCGUGAGUGAAGAAGGCUUUCGGGUCGUAAAACUCUGUUGUUGGAGAAGAAUGGUCGGCAGAGUAACUGUUGUCGGCGUGACGGUAUCCAACCAGAAAGCCACGGCUAACUACGUGCCAGCAGCCGCGGUAAUACGUAGGUGGCAAGCGUUAUCCGGAUUUAUUGGGCGUAAAGCGAGCGCAGGCGGUUUUUUAAGUCUGAUGUGAAAGCCCUCGGCUUAACCGAGGAAGCGCAUCGGAAACUGGGAAACUUGAGUGCAGAAGAGGACAGUGGAACUCCAUGUGUAGCGGUGAAAUGCGUAGAUAUAUGGAAGAACACCAGUGGCGAAGGCGGCUGUCUGGUCUGUAACUGACGCUGAGGCUCGAAAGCAUGGGUAGCGAACAGGAUUAG